rnacentral:misc_RNA from 1 species
UACGGAGGGUGCGAGCGUUAAUCGGAAUAACUGGGCGUAAAGGGCACGCAGGCGGUUGAUUAAGUGAGAUGUGAAAGCCCCGGGCUUAACCUGGGAAUUGCAUUUCAUACUGGUCAACUAGAGUACUUUAGGGAGGGGUAGAAUUCCACGUGUAGCGGUGAAAUGCGUAGAGAUGUGGAGGAAUACCGAAGGCGAAGGCAGCCCCUUGGGAAUGUACUGACGCUCAUGUGCGAAAGCGUGGGGAGCAAACAGG